rnacentral:rRNA from 1 species
GAUGAACGCUGGCGGCGUGCCUAAUACAUGCAAGUCGAGCGAACGGACGAGAAGCUUGCUUCUCUGAUGUUAGCGGCGGACGGGUGAGUAACACGUGGAUAACCUACCUAUAAGACUGGGAUAACUUCGGGAAACCGGAGCUAAUACCGGAUAAUAUUUUGAACCGCAUGGUUCAAAAGUGAAAGACGGUCUUGCUGUCACUUAUAGAUGGAUCCGCGCUGCAUUAGCUAGUUGGUAAGGUAACGGCUUACCAAGGCAACGAUGCAUAGCCGACCUGAGAGGGUGAUCGGCCACACUGGAACUGAGACACGGUCCAGACUCCUACGGGAGGCAGCAGUAGGGAAUCUUCCGCAAUGGGCGAAAGCCUGACGGAGCAACGCCGCGUGAGUGAUGAAGGUCUGCGGAUCGUAAAACUCUGUUAUUAGGGAAGAACAUAUGUGUAAGUAACUGUGCACAUCUGGACGGUACCUAAGCAGAAAGCCACGGCUAACUACGG